AGGGUCAUACCCUGCUACCCCGCCACACCCAGUGCCACUUCCAGGCUGGCCGUGCCCGUGCGGAAGGCGUGGGACUGCGAUGGUCCAAGAGACCUGGGUUGCGUCAGUCCCCGUGCGUGGGUUCUCACACCUUCCAGGGCCAGGGCCUCCUCUCCCGUCUUCCCGCCAGCCCCGCCCGGCCGGGACUAUAGAAGCAGGACCAGCAGAGUUCUCCUUCUCACUCUCCAUCUGAGUCAGCGCCACAGCCACGGAGGUGACUCAAAGGAGACACAGCCCCGGGCCACACCCCACCCAUGGUGGCAAGGGAGCUCGCCCCAGGGCCAGGUUUCCCAGGGUCUCCCUGCCCACCUGAGCUCUCAGGCUCCCAGGAAAAGGAGGGCCGGGGCUGGAAGGAUGGAGGAGGGGAAGAAAGAGUAGAGGGACCGGGCACCCGCCGCGGCCUCGCGUGCCUGGCCAGGACCUGGCAGGGAAUCAGAGGGUCCGGGAGAUACUCUGGCAGGUUCCAAAGUCAGAUGGAACCUGGGGUCUCCCCACUGGGGCCCCAGCCAUGAGCUCGGGCGCAGAGAGGCGAGGGAUGGGGGGCCGCCUCCUUCACUUCUGCUCUGUCCCUCCCUGUCCGGCAAGCACAUGUGAAGCGCUCGCCCUGUGCCAAGCCAGGGACUGGCUCCAGGGCUCCAGAUGAAUCAGGCCUGCUCCCCGGGGGCUCGGCCUGUGGGAGGAGACAGACACAGAGACAAAUAAUUAAAGACAUGAAUGAAGCCUUUGAGAUAAAAAUACACCCGCGGUGGAUACAGAGGCUCCGAGAUGAUAAACUCAGUGUUUUUUGUGACCUGAACCAGGACAGAAGGGGCGCUCACAACUGGGCAGUGGAGAUGGGGCUUUGUAACCCCGAGGGAUGCUGGAGACUCUGUCCCUGAUGUCCCGGAUUGCCCUUCGGUCACCACCCUCUGUAAAACAGUGACUGGCGGAGGCUCUGCCAAGCUGCAGGAAGGGGUUCCCGGGGCGCCCAGCCUAGACCUUGACCUGUAGCCAACUUCGUCACCACCUCCAGCAAGUGUCUCCUCUGAGCCUCUGUUUCCUCAUCUGCCAAAUGGGCGUGCGCAUCGGAAGAUGAUGACAACUGCUGAUACCGGCUGGUGUCCCCAGGGGCCUUGCAUCCAGAUCUCUGCAGGCCUCACCUGGCCGCCUUAGCACCCGCCCUGGGAGGUACGUACUAUUAACAGAAGAAACCGCUCGUCCAGAGGAGGAAGGCCGGUGGUUGGUAAGUAGAAAAGAAAUAUUUAAAGCAGGAAGUCUCACGCUAUGUGAAAUAGGCAUUUUAUUGAACAUAAACACAGCUUAUUGGAUGUUAUUGGAAAGUCACGCGUGCGCUUCUAUUAAAUGAUCUCUUGGCUCAGGCCCAAGGCCGCCUCGGUGACCAGGGCCUCCGGCGGAAGUCCUGCCCUGUUUUUCUUGCAUUAAACAAACCAAAGCAGCCGCGUGUAUGGUUCCCGUUUGGUUCCUGCAGGGUGAGUAACACCUUAGAGAGGCUCGCGAGACGACCCGAGUUCCAGCCCUCACCCCCAGAUUUUCAAGAACUCCCCUGGUUUCAGCCCUUACCUGAUUCAGCAUGAAUUUCAGUUGGGUUGAGUGAUUUGUUUGUUCUCGGUUUUGUGAUCCAGGACUGGGGCUGGAACCCAGGGCCAACGCUCUGCCACUGGGCUACUUCCCCACACCGGAGCAGUGUAACUACACAGGUGUCCCUUAUCCAUGGUGGGGCGUCCCCACGGGAUGCCGGAACCCCAGACAACACCUAACCCAACGGACACCGCGUUUUCCCCCUAGGCCCCACGGCCUCGCCACAAGCCUCAGAACUCGACGCGUCCUUCUGUGCCUCGGGUCCCAGCCUCCGAAUCACUGCCUUUGCACCUUGGGGACAUUAGUGAGUAGAGGAAGGGUCCUUGGACACAGGCGCUGUGGUACUGAGGUGGCCACCGAGAACCACAUGUGUCCAGCCUGGAGACACUGGACAAAGGGAUGAUUCACGUCCCGGGCAGGAUGGAGCAGCACCGUGAGGUGUAAAAACCGUCCCCAGAAAGGUGCGCAAUGGAAAACUCACCGAUUGUUUCUGGAAUUUUCCAUCUAAUACUUUCAGACCACAGUUUACCCAGAGUAACUGAAACCAUGAAAAGUGAGAUGAAGGACAAGGAAGGCUGGCUCCGUUGUCACCCCUACCCCGCCUACCUCGCCCCCCCCCGUCUCGCUCACGUCUGAUCCUGAACUUUUUAUUUCUUUUCUUUUUUUUUGACACCCCACCUUUCCUUGGGGACCUUCCUAAGGCCCCUUUUCAGUUUUCAGAGACACAACAGCUCUUUCCUGGUCUCAUUCUCGUCCUGGGUUCAGCAGUGACCACCAGUGGCCCGGGCCUGCAGGAGCAGGAGCUCCGGGCAGUGACCUUCAUACCUAUAGGAACCUUCUCCACCUGCCUUCCCCAGGCUCAUGGGGAGCCACUGAACCGAGGUCCAGGACAGGCUUCUACUAUUCCAUCCCCACUUGACAGGUAAGGACACCGAGGUACGUGACGUCACUUCCCUGAAGCCCCCACGCUUGGCAGAGCUAGAACAGGGCCCCUGAGGCCCCUGCGGCCCCUGCGGCCCCUGCUCCUUACCCCUGCUCUCUGCUGCCCCCUGCCUUUGUGUCCUGGGGUCCCUGAGCCUUCCGGCUUCCCUGCUGGAAGGACCAGAGUGGGGGACAUUUACACAUGGUCAGCACCACCACUGGGCCAGAAGGAGAUGACGGCCACUGCACUCAGCCUGCCCCCCACCCCAGGUCAGUGUCCCCAAGCCCAGGCCUGGCACUCCACAGGUGCUUCUGAGUGUGAUGCAGCUGGACAGGAACCGUCGAUCUGCCCCUUUGUCCCCACAAGUGUCCCCAGAACCUGCUCCGGGGCAGGCGCAGCUGUCCCUGGGAUGUGGCGGACGCCACCCUUUCCUCACAGUGCUGGGUUCUGGUGGGACCAUCCCAGCCCCGCAGUUCCAGGCUGGCUCUGGCCCACACGUCCUCGGACGGGUGCCCGGGACGCUGUGGGUGGGGGAUGUGGAUUUUGGAGUCAGAAACCUCUGAAUUCCAGCUCUGCCCCUCACUGGCUGUGGGACCUGGUCCGGUGGAGGCCCUGCUCCAGGCCCUGGGGACUGACCCCUCGGGGCUGAGACAGACACCGGCAGGGGGGCUCGGCUGUGGACAGGGACAGGGACAGGGCAGGUAGCUGCGAGCAGCUUCCGACGGUUGGUGUCUGUGGAGAGCGAGGUGGUGAGCGAGGGAAACGAAAAGAGGCCAGACGCCACGCAGGCCGCAGCACGCAAGGGCCGCCCAGCCCAGCCGCCUCCCAGGCCCAGAAAGGGGAAGACGGCCCAGACCGGGAAGUGGUCGCCUCUGAUGACCACCUCGCGCGACCGCGCCAGCCCGAGCAGGAAGUGGUCGCCCUUCCCAGCGGCAGGCCCGGCCGAGCUCACACUUGGGAAACUGCUGCCGAAAGUCCCUGCUCCCGGGCCGCUUGGGAGCAGCCUCGGAUUCUUAGAAACCAGAUCCCGCCAGGCCCUGGCUUCGUGGCCGGGGGCCGCAGACCCCCACCCGACUCUGCCAUUUCCUGGCCCUGAAGCUCUGACCCCGGGCCUCCCCGUCUGGACCUGUUCCUCCUCUUUAAAGGGGUGAUAAUCCCCCACCUGCCACCACAGAGGAUAGUGAAGACAGAAAGUCCUAAAAAGGUCAGAGCUGGAAAGUCCCCAAGGGCCUGUGACGAGGAGGAUGCAGGUGGACAGGGUAGGAGACAGGUCCCAUGCCAGGUCCCAUGCCAGGGCCAUCUGAGGUGGAGGGAGACCUACAGAGGGGGCAGGGCCCACCUCAGCUCCACCCCAGCCACAGGACCUUGGUCAAGUCAACCCGCCUUUGGCGCCUUUUCCUGAGACGAGAAAACAGGCCUUGUCUCCCUGGCCCCUGGGGACCCCGCCUGGGACGAUGCCCAUAGAGAUGUUCUGCAAACUGUAAUGCGCCGUGCACACAAAGGCUGCUCCGUGGGGCGGGGCUGGAACCCGGAUCUCGUGGGUGUGUGUCCUUUGCUGCCCCCCACCCUGGGUUCACUGUCUGGGGGGUUUUGGGGACCUGGAGAAGCUGCCCCUGGGAGGACUUCUCUUAGUCCCCACCUCCCUGACUUGGGUGAGAGGGGACAAAUCUCUUUGCCUGAUUCCACUGAGUCACUGGAGCCCGUGAUCCUGGAGGGGCCAGGUGUGAAGAUCUCAUCUCGUCCACACCCGUAGUCAGACAGGCCACUGCCACCGACACCCAGCCCCUCACUCACGGCUUCCGCCAGCCCAAACCCACCUUCCUUGUAGGCCAGGGGGCCUCCUAGGGUCCCAAGACCAGCAGCACCCAUGACGUGGCCAGGUCGGGGCAAGGCUGGACUGACCGAGUCCUGACCAUCCCACCAUCACCACCAUGCGCACUGUCACCACCACAUCUCCAUCACCACUGCCACCAACACCCAACACCUCCUCUGUCACCACUGCCACCACCACCCAUCACCUCCUCCGUAACCACUGCCACCACCACCCACCACCUCCUCCGUCACCAUCACCCCACCACCCACCACCUCCUCCGUCACCAUCACCACCACCACCCACCACCAUCACCACCCCAGCCAUUACCCCCACCAUGAGUGUCCCCACCACUGUCACCCCCAGCGGCAGCGGCACAGGGCCUGUCUCACAGGCUGGGUCAGCCACCCCACUUCCACCGUAACCCUAAGCACCUCUGCCCUUGCUGGUGAGAGUUGGGAGGCCCCAGUGAGGCCGCCCCAGAACCUGUGGGUGACCCCCAGGGUGACUGAAGACCAACCUCUGUGAGAUGGCUGGGGACAUUCAGAAAUAAAAAUGCCAAUUGCCAAAUGAACUCAACUGACCCGACCCUCAAAUAAGAGCCCUGGGAGGGAGGCAGGACAGGAGGAGUGGCCACAGUGCUCCUUCCAUCUUCCGUGGAUAUCCCGGAUUGUUAUGUUAGCUGACAGCUGUCCAGCGGCUGACUGGGCUCAUCUAAGUACGAGCUCAGCCCUGCAGGACCCUGUGGGGAAGGUCAUGUUAUCAUCCCUGUUUCACAGUUGGGGAAACGAAGAGGCAGAAGAAGUAAAGUGACCUGCCCCAGGUCACCUAGUGAACGGUAAGGCCAGGGUUUGGAUGCGGGUAUCCCAGACCACAGUGCAAGCUCCGACCACUGCACUACCCUGUCACAUUGGAGGAACGCGGGCCAGGCCAAGGAAAAUCCUCGGCACCCAGUCCUGCCAGGGCCUGCGUGCCAUCGCCCUGAGGCAUGGGCCGUAUGAUCAAGGGCUGAGUCCUCAGGUCCCACCACGAGGCCUGGCACACAGUAGGGACUCACUGUUGCCUGAGUGAGUGAAUUAACACGGGCCUUCAAACCCUUCCCCCAGCUCCUCCUUCUUCCCCAUCAACCACACAGAAGGCCAUCACUGAAACUGUGGUGUUACCAUCGACCGACAGAGAGCAGCGUGGAUAAGAGGGUUAGACCUUCCUCCAGCAGCCAGGAAGAAGGAGUCAGGAGGAAAAGGAGGCAGCACUUUGUGGCAGGCAUGGAUGCAGCCAUCAACUCAAGACUUAGGACAAAGUCUGAUGGGACGCGCCGUGGCUGAUGCUCGCUCUUCAUUGGCUGAGGCUGUUUGGAAGACGCUGGGCCAAGGGCUCCAGGUUCCAGUUCUUCAGGGACUCACAGCCCACAAGGAGGCCAGGUGACCCGAGGACAGAGCAGACCUGCUCAGCUGAGUCCCAGCAGCUAUAGCCAAGCGCACCCAGGGCUGCGGAUGCUUCGUCCCUCCAGGCUCCACCGUCCUGUGGGGUGAGUACUUGGGUUCCCCACUGAUGGCUGCUCAGCUGAGCCCACUGGAGCUCCAAGAGGGGGUGUGACAUGGCCGAGGAGCUCACACUGGCUGAGUUCAAGUGGAGGGCUUGGUCCGCCAGCCAUGCCACACUCAAGGCCACCCCUGAGUGCAGCUGGCUCAGACUGGAGUGGCCCUGCAGGCUCCUGGCAGGUGGGGCUCUGCGGCUUCAGAGACAGGACCGUCUCCUUCCAGUUACUUCACCCACGAAGGACCACAAGCACUGCAGUUCCCUUCUGUAAGCACUGCGGCUUGCACUCGUGGAUCGUUGAUUUCACUCACUUAAUACACACUCGCGGAGCGUCGCCUGCGCCCUCACGUGCUGGGCACUGGGUUCCAACAGUGAGCAAAACAGACAAAACCUCCUGCCCUCACGAAACUUAUAUUCUGGAAGAGUCGGCAAGACAAUGAGCAAAAAUAAAGAAGAUAUGCCCUGCACCAGGUGGCGACAACCUCUGGGCAGAACAAAGGUACAGAGGAAGGGUGCAGCAUUGGGGGAAAGGGGUGGAGCUAAACAGUGGUCAGAAAGGUCCCCCUGAGGUGACAUGAGAGCAGAAAGCCAAAACAGGGCUGAGCCGUGCAGUGUCUGGGGACAGCUUUCCAGGCAGAGGGGACGGGGUGCAAAGGCCCGAGGCCACCAUCUCGCGGUUCAACUCAAGAAACCUUGAGUCAUAAACCGCUGGGUUUGCAUUUUGUUGCUGUGAUCAAAAGACCCACCAGGAACUCACUUAGCAGAGCAAAAGUUCAUUUGACCUCACCUUUCAGGGGUUUGGCCCUUAGUUGUCUGACCCCAUUGCUCCAUGGGCCCAAGGAGAGGCAGAGCUUCGAGGCGGAAGCGCGUGUGGAGGAGUUCCGUCUCAUGUGUGGUGGGCAGGAAGGGUCUGCAGGGAAGGUGCCCAUCUAGGCCACAGCCCCAGUGACCCGCCUCCUCCUGCCAUGUCCCACCUGCCUCGUCACCACCCGAUCGGUCCAUUCAGACGAGGACAUCGGAUCAUUCUACCUUGGUCUUCUGCCUCCUGCGCCAGGGCAAUUUAGAGUGGUUUAAGAUUAUCCAGAUUCUACAGGGUGCCCUCUAUGGCACCCCUAGGGAUUAGGGAUGCCCAAAUCCUGAGGUGGCAUAUGGAUUCCAGAAGGGCUGGUCCCUCAGGGAAGGGAACCAAAUCCAACCCAAAUGCAUGCAGCCUCCUCACUGUCUGACCCUGUGUCCCCCUUUGGGGGUGAAGGGGCUCUCCUACUCUGAGAGGGUUGUGCCUUAUGCAGACCAGAGCGGGGAAAUGGCCACGGAACACCACUGAGUGAUCGUAGGCUGACCAGCCAGCCACUGCCCAGGAAUCAGAGGUCAGCCUGUGGCCAAGGUCAGCAGCCAGCCUUGAGUCUGAGGUUUGUGGUCAGACCAGGAAUCAGCUGGAAUCAAGAGUCAAAUCUGUAGCCAGAUCGAGAGUCGCACAUGGUUCAGUUCAGGGAUCAGCCUGAGAAACAGCAGUCACUGCUCAGACGGGGACUUCAUGCAUCACCGGGGUCAUAGGUCAGGCGGGCCAAGGUCAGGGCUACUCCUGGCCAAGGGGAAGGGGUAUGUGUCUGUGGAAUGAAGCCUCCCAGCCCAGCUGCACCAGCCCAAAGUCUGACGGCCACACCAGGCGGGAAAUAGAAGGGAAAAAGCAGUCACAGAUCCCAAGUCUGGACCUGGAGUGUCCCCUGAAGGCCGCGUGUCCCAACCGGUGGUGAGCUGGGGGGUGCCGAAAUCUUCCAGAGGUGGGGCCUCAUGGGAGGAAGCUGGGUCCCUGGGGGUGUGCCUUCCCAGGGAGCGCCAAGACCCCAGCCCCCUCCCAUCUCUCAUUGUUUGUGAAUAGCUUCGAUCUGCCAUGGGCCUCCGCCAUGAAUGUGCUGGGCUGCCCCGGGGCCCAAAGCCACAGGCCCAAGUGACCAGGAACUAAAAGCUCUGAAACCAUGAGCCAAAGAAACUUUCCCCCUUCUAAGUCGAUGUCCGCAGGUAUGUUGUCACAGUGAUGGAGAGCUGACACGGACACGCUGAGCCGCUUCAAGAUCCAGUCAGACCAACUCCAUUGGGCUUCAAGGCCUGGGGAUCCACCGUCAUUUGCAGCUCUGAGCUCCAUAUACACAGUGACAAUGACGAUGACGAAAACAGCUUUGCAUUGGACCUCACACUAUAUAAAAAAGACGAACCGGAGCAAAUUAUAUGGACCUAAACAAGCUUGAUUGUAAGGGAACAAGCCCCCCGGAGUCCAUGAUCAUCUGAUGUGUGAAAAUCCAGAGAAGACAAAGCUGUGGGGACAGAAAGCAGAUCAGUGGCUGCUAAUGUCCAGGGAGCAGGAGGAGGACGCGGUCAUCUCCAAAGUGUUGGGAGCGCAUGUCUUUUGAGGGUGAUGGAAGGGUUCUAUGUCCCUACGGUAGACUGGCUCGCAACUGGAAUCGUUUUCAAAAUAUCUCCAAGUGUGCGCUCGGAAGGGAGGCCUUGGUGUAUGCAGACUGUGUGCUGGUAAAGGUGAUUUUGGAAGUGUC